rnacentral:sRNA from 1 species
GCUGGGUGCAGUGACUCACAUCUGUAAUCCCAGCAACUCAGAAGGCUGAGGCAGGAGGAUCACAGACAAGUUCAAGGCUAGUGUCUGCAACUUAGUGAGACCCUGUCUCCA